rnacentral:rRNA from 1 species
AUGGCGGUGGUGUUCACGGUGCUGGCCGUGCUAGUGCUGGUGGCGGCCGUCUCCGUGCUGCUGGUGGUGCUGGUGCUGCAGCCCCGGGCGCCGUACCUGGCCGUGCAGACGGCGCGGCUGGGGAACCUGGUGUACGACCAGCAGGGGGUGCUGGACAACGCGGAGCUGGAGCUGGACGUGCGCGCGGCGAACGUGAACGCCCACGCCGCCGUGGCCUUCUCGGAGCUGGAGCUGCGGCUGAGCUUCCACGACAUGGUGAUCGCCAUCCUGCGCGCCGACCCCUUCGUGGUGCCGCCCAGGGGCGAGCGGCCGCUGGGGUACGUGGCGUCGUCGGCGGCGGUGCCGCUGGACGGCGCCGGGCGGGCCGCCAUGGAGGGCGCGCUGGACCGCGGCGUGGUGCCGUUCCGGGUGAGCGGGCAGGCACGGACGCGGUGGAAGGUGGGCGGGGUGGUGGCCGUCAAGUACUGGACGCGGCUGGCAUGCCAGAUCCGCUUCUUCUGGCCCAACGGCACCGCGCUCGACUUCACCUGCAACUCCAAGUCCAGGUCCCGCUACUGA